rfam:Sphingobium chungbukense strain DJ77 contig00001, whole genome shotgun sequence.
AGGAAAGGCCUUUCAGGCAUCCUCUCCUAUAAACUUUCCGGGCUGGCCUUUGGGCUGGCCCUUUUUUUAUUCGUUC